rnacentral:rRNA from 1 species
GACGAACGCUGGCGGCGUGCUUAACACAUGCAAGUCGAGCGGAGCGGCGAACGGGUGAGGAACGCGGGAGUAACUGACCCCCUCUCUGGGAUAACAGUUGGAAACGGAUGCUAAUAACGGAUAGUGGGGGAUGACUCGCGUCUAAUCAGCUGGUUGGUGGGGUAGUGGCGUACCAGGGCGACGACGGGUAGCCGGCCUGCGAGGGCGACCGGCCACAUUGGUCUGAGAUACGGACCAAGAUCCAACGGGAGACAGCGGUCGAGAGUCUUACGCAGUGGCGGAACCGCUGAUGCAGCGGCGCCGGUUCGUAAUGACGGCCUUCUGGUUGUAAACCGCUUUGAGCCAUAACGCGGUAGUGGCAGAAGAAGCACCGGCUAACUACGUGCCAGCAGCCGCGGUAAUAC